rnacentral:lncRNA from 1 species
UUUUCUCAUUUCUUUCUAAACUUGAUUUUAUUUUUUGAAAGUCAAAUAUUCACUGGUUACUAAAUUUUAAAUUCCCGAACCUAAUUUUGGCUCUAAUUUCCAAAAACUAAUCCCGAGCCCAAACUAAUUUUGGCUCUAAUUUUGGCUCUUAUUCCUAAACAAAGGAAAGCGUAGAAGAUGUAGUAAUAUACCAAAUCAUGAUAUUCCAUUUGUCUUCUAUGUUUCUGAUAUUUGACCCAGUCUUGUUGUUGCUGCAAUUUAUAAGAAAGAUCCACGACCACCUUGGAGUAGUAAGCACUCUUUUCUAUUAGUUUGGAAGAUUAAUUGAUUUUUUUCAUGUUGAAUAAGCUCUAGUGUCUGGGAAAGUGUAGUUGAAUCAUAGUCUCGAUAGGCUAUUUUUCUUUGUUUCUCAAUUAUCAGUGAACAUAAUUAGCCCUUUGCUAUUAGCAUCUUCUCGAUAUCUUCCAUAAGUUGUUUUUUCAUGGAUUUUGCUAGAUGUGCUUUGCCCUGCCAUAAGAAGAAUUAGAAGCUGGCACUAUUUCGUGGUAACCAAGAGUUAUGUCUUGCACUAGAAAGCUACUGUAUAUAUGAAAUUUAGGACAAGUUUGAUUAGCAAUAAACUCAAAUCAUUCAAGUUUACAACGCAAAACAAAAACAACAACCAGUAGACAUAUUAAGCAUAAAGUUGCUCGAAGAGGAUGGAAUAAAAACAUU